UGGCACGAAGGAGCACAGGGGGGUUGGGGAAGGAGUAGGGAGCAGAGACUGGGGCUGGGGACCCCGUUUCGGCUCCUCGCGGCCGGUCGCUUACAUGCCCAGGUCGCUGUAGGUGUUGAAGAACUCCAUCUGGUUGCACGCCUGGAUCCAGCCCACCACCCAGAAAUGACCACCUGUGUCCUCCCAAGAACCACUGAAAAUCAACAACAUUUACAAAACGGAGAGACAUCAUGGACCAGGAGAGCUGGGAGUUGGAGGACCUGGAUUUCCGAUUGUUUGGGUGACAUUGCACAGACUUUUUGUUUACAGUGAUGUCAGCUUUUCUGUGAUGUGCAGAUGAUGUUUUACUCAUUCGAUUCCUGUCCAAUCAAAUGUAUCCAUCCUGUGUCACAUACCAUCAAGACCCUUUUUAAGAAGAGGAGCCUCUACCAAGAUUCAAGCAAGAUAUUAAA